CUGCCAAACACUUCCCAAGAGGUAUAGACAAGUUUUUAGUGAAUAGAGUAGGAAGAUUUAUGGUGAAAAGAAGAGAGAAAUGGAGCUUGCUUGAGGUUUUAAUGGAGGUUGGGUCUAGGGCAUGAAUUUCGGCUGCAUUUGGGGAAGAAGAAGGCAGCUGUAUUUUUUUAAUUCCUUAGAUCACAUUUGUCUCUUUUUAUUAGUUAAUUAGUUGGUUGUUUAAUUGUGAUUGGAGAGAACUUCAAAUGACAUCAUAAUGAUGUCAUAAAUGAGCCCUUUUUCUCAUUUUCUAUUCUUUUCUUCUCUACUUAUUUUCAAUU
rnacentral:misc_RNA from 1 species